CUCUCUCUUCCUGCUCUGCUACGGUAAGACGUGCUUUGCUUUCCCUUUGCCUUCCGCCAUGAUUCUAAGUUUCCUGAGGCCUCCCCAGCCAUGCAGAACUAUGGAGUCUAGCUUUGUCGCCAGGCUGGAGUGCAGUGGCGUGAUCUCAGCUCACUGCAACCUCCGCCUCUCGGGUUCAAGCGAUCCUGCCUCAGCCUCCCAAGUAGCUAGGAUUUCAGGUUCAUGCCUCCGUGCCUGGCUAAUUUUAGUAUUUUUAGGAGAGAGAUUUCACCAUAUUGGCCAGGAUGAUCUCAAUCUCCUGACCUCAAGUGAUCCACCCACCUCAGCCUCCCAAAGUGCUAGGACUACAGGCGUGAGCCACCGCGCCCAGCCUUACUAACCCCUCAUUCUAAAGGUAAAUGCCUUCUCGCUGUGUCCUCAUAUGGUGGAGAGUGAGACUUCAUCUAAAAAGAAAAAAAAAAACCCACUCCGGACAUAGUGACUGUAGCUGGGUCUUGGACUGCAAGAAGACCAUCCUGGUGAGAAGAUCUUGACCACAGGGUCUAACUGUGGCCCAGGCUGGAAUGCUGCGGCAUCAUUACAGCUCACUGCAGCUUCGACCUCCCCAGCUCAAGUGAUCCUCCUGCCUCAGCCUCCCGACUAGCUGGGACCACAGUGAGCACAGGGAGGAGGAGGUGCAUGCAAGCGAUACUGCAGGGCCAGAAUCAGAAUCAUCAGCACGUAGCAACUGAUUGGAUUUCUGGAGCAAGAAAGAAGAGUUGAAGAUAAUGUUGAACUUUCUCAUUGGGAGAUUUUACUAACAUUAUUGAGCAAUUACUGCAUGAUGGAUGUUACGCUAAGAGCAUUCUACAAUUAUUAUACCUCUUACGUCUCCCAGUAGUUCUGUUAAGCACUGAAUACUGUGGAUACAAAGAGCCCAGAGUCAUCAAGAGGAACCAGGAACUCUAACAUGAUGUGUGGAGCAGGCUAUGCAAAGAGGGGUACCUCUCCCAGUCAGAGGCAUCAGAGAAGGCUUCCUGGUGGAGAACGUGUGUGAUGGACUUAUGGACUCAUUCACUGCAUCGAUCUUGGGCACUGCCCAGCUUCAUGUUCCACUCUCCCGUUUAUCCCAAAUUGCUGAGGAUUUCCUAAGAACCAUCACUUUCCAGAGCUCAUUAUUUUCUGUUAUUUGCCUCAGCAGCACAAGCUGUUUUCACAAAGAAAUAAAGGGUCUUCUAUUCCAGAAGAGUUCUUCUAUGCAUGUAGGUGAGCAGACAGUGCAGAGCCAUGCUGAGGUGUGUGUGCCUUGCUGUCACUGUCUCUCCUCCGGGAGGAACACUAGGCUCCUGUACACCAGGCUUCCCACAGCCCAGGAGGAACACAUCCACGCCUUGCCAGUCAUUUGCAUCUUAGUAAGACUAAAACUAAUAAAACUAACAAUAAAACUUAAAAUAGA
rnacentral:lncRNA from 1 species